UGAACGCUAGCGGGAGGCCUAACACAUGCAAGCCGAGCGGUAUUGUUUCUUCGGAAAUGAGAGAGCGGCGUACGGGUGCGGAACACGUGUGCAACCUGCCUUUAUCUGGGGGAUAGCCUUUCGAAAGGAAGAUUAAUACCCCAUAAUAUAUUGAAUGGCAUCAUUCGAUAUUGAAAACUCCGGUGGAUAGAGAUGGGCACGCGCAAGAUUAGAUAGUUGGUGAGGUAACGGCUCACCAAGUCUACGAUCUUUAGGGGGCCUGAGAGGGUGAUCCCCCACACUGGUACUGAGACACGGACCAGACUCCUACGGGAGGCAGCAGUGAGGAAUAUUGGACAAUGGGUGAGAGCCUGAUCCAGCCAUCCCGCGUGAAGGACGACGGCCCUAUGGGUUGUAAACUUCUUUUGUAUAGGGAUAAACCUACUCUCGUGAGAGUAGCUGAAGGUACUAUACGAAUAAGCACCGGCUAACUCCGUGCCAGCAGCCGCGGUAAUACGGAGGGUGCAAGCGUUAUCCGGAUUUAUUGGGUUUAAAGGGUCCGUAGGCGGAUUUGUAAGUCAGUGGUGAAAUCUCACAGCUUAACUGUGAAACUGCCAUUGAUACUGCAAGUCUUGAGUGUUGUUGAAGUAGCUGGAAUAAGUAGUGUAGCGGUGAAAUGCAUAGAUAUUACUUAGAACACCAAUUGCGAAGGCAGGUUACUAAGCAACAACUGACGCUGAUGGACGAAAGCGUGGGGAGCGAACAGGAUUAGAUACCCUGGUAGUCCACGCCGUAAACGAUGCUAACUCGUUUUUGGGUUUUCGGAUUCAGAGACUAAGCGAAAGUGAUAAGUUAGCCACCUGGGGAGUACGUUCGCAAGAAUGAAACUCAAAGGAAUUGACGGGGGCCCGCACAAGCGGUGGAUUAUGUGGUUUAAUUCGAUGAUACGCGAGGAACCUUACCAAGGCUUAAAUGGGAAAUGACAGGUUUAGAAAUAGACUUUUCUUCGGACAUUUUUCAAGGUGCUGCAUGGUUGUCGUCAGCUCGUGCCGUGAGGUGUUAGGUUAAGUCCUGCAACGAGCGCAACCCCUGUCACUAGUUGCCAUCAUUAAGUUGGGGACUCUAGUGAGACUGCCUACGCAAGUAGAGAGGAAGGUGGGGAUGACGUCAAAUCAUCACGGCCCUUACGCCUUGGGCCACACACGUAAUACAAUGGCCGGUACAGAGGGCAGCUACACAGCGAUGUGAUGCAAAUCUCGAAAGCCGGUCUCAGUUCGGAUUGGAGUCUGCAACUCGACUCUAUGAAGCUGGAAUCGCUAGUAAUCGCGCAUCAGCCAUGGCGCGGUGAAUACGUUCCCGGGCCUUGUACACACCGCCCGUCAAGCCAUGGAAGUCUGGGGUACCUGAAGUCGGUGACCGUAACAGGAGCUGCCUAGGGUAAAACAGGUAACUAGGGCUAAGUCGUAACAAGG
rnacentral:rRNA from 1 species